UCCUGAACUCAGGUGAUCCGCCUGCCUCAGCCUCCCAAAGAGCUGGGAUUACAGAUGUGAGCAACCUCGCCCGGCCAACUUUCUUUUUAACCAUGGAGGUGUGACUUCUCUACUCCUAAGGUGGCAAGCUACCAAAGGACAGCAGAGAAGAGGGAAUACAUGCUCCCAAACAGGGUGGUUAAGGAGCCACAUGAACUUUCAGAGCCUACUGGGAGAGACAGACCAUUAAAGAACUGCACUGCACUACAACAGAUGUGAACAGGAAGCCUUUGAAGCACAUGAAAGAGGCUUCAGGGUCAUUGGCCUGGCAGAAACUGACACAGGAAAGGAGCCACUGCUCUCAGUAAGGAUGCUUUGUCCACUGAUUAUGAACCAAGCACCUCACCAAUUGUGGCCCUACAGCUGAUCUCUCUGCAUCUAUAAUCCUUUAUUUUUACCGUCCUGGGUCACACAAAUAGGUUGGUGGAUGGAACAUCUCUGAUGCUGAAGAAGGAAGGAGGCUACCAUCAUCAAUUGGGAUAUCAAAAAUUAAAUAUAUGUUAGAACCACUGACCUUGUGGUCUCUCCCUCUGGAUUCUCAUGAAUGUGGCACCGAAUCAGCAUUUAAAAGCCAGCCCUGGGGGAGACCAACAAAAGGCUACUGGGCUGUGUCUUCAAACUGACCUUAGAGUCAUCUAUUACCCCUGAGGAUUUCUGACCAUGCUGAUAGUAACCCUCUGAGUUUCUAUGUCUCCCUUCUGCGGUGUGUUCUCAUCUAGACAGUCUGCAUCGUUCAUAGAUGAAACAUGGAUUUGAAAAAAGUAAGAACCACCUCCAAGGUCGCAGCAAAAUGUUUAUGCAUUAAAGUAUUCCUAAGAAUAAGCAGGUAUUUACCAAGUAUAUACUACCUCGUUAACACCAAACUAGAUAUCCUGCAGAUUUUAAAAAAAAAAAAAAAAUGCCAGACAUUCUGCUAUAACGUCAUAUUAUCUUUACCGAAGAAUCUCCUGUUUUGCAGAAUUGCACACCUAAGAUAGCAGGGCUUACGGGGAAAAUAUGGUUAGGGAAGACCACUUAAAUCCAAUGCAACUUUAUAGUCAGAGCACUAAUGAAAACAACCAUCCUAAUAAAAACACACAGAUAAAUCUC